CGAACGGGUGAGUAACACGUGGGUGAUCUGCCCUGCACUCUGGGAUAAGCCUGGGAAACUGGGUCUAAUACCGGAUAGGACCAUGCUUUAGUGUGUGUGGUGGAAAGUUUUUUCGGUGUAGGAUGAGCCCGCGGCCUAUCAGCUUGUUGGUGGGGUAAUGGCCUACCAAGGCGGCGACGGGUAGCCGGACUGAGAGGUUGGUCGGCCACAUUGGGACUGAGAUACGGCCCAG
rnacentral:rRNA from 1 species